GAUUAACGCUGGCGGCAUGCCUAAUACAUGCAAGUCGAACGGAAGCAGCAAUGCUUUAGUGGCGAACGGGUGAGUAACACGUAGGGAACCUACCUAUACGACGAGGAUAACUACUGGAAACGGUAGCUAAAACUGGAUAGGAUCAAUUGAGGCAUCUUGAUUGAUUUAAAGAUCCUUCGGGAUUACGUAGAGAUGGCCCUGCGGCGCAUUAGCUAGUUGGUGAGGUAACGGCUCACCAAGGCGACGAUGCGUAGCCGACCUGAGAGGGUGAUCGGCCACAUUGGGACUGAGACACGGCCCAGACUCCUACGGGAGGCAGCAGUGGGGAAUAUUGCACAAUGGGGGAAACCCUGAUGCAGCAACGCCGCGUGAGUGAUGACGGC
rnacentral:rRNA from 1 species